rnacentral:rRNA from 1 species
AGCGAACGUUUGCGGCGGGCCUAACACAUGCAAGUCGAACGCACUAGCAAUAGUGAGUGGCGCACGGGUGCGUAACACGUGGGUAAUCAACCCUUCAGCUUGGGAUAACGACUUGAAAGGGUCGCUAAUACCGGAUACGGCGCGGGAGGCUUCGGCUUCUCACGAGAAAGCCUCGCAAGGGGCACUGAAGGACGAGCCUGCGGCCCAUCAGCUAGUUGGUGAGGUAAGAGCUCACCAAGGCGAAGACGGGUAGCUGGUCUGAGAGGAUGAUCAGCCACACUGGAACUGAGACACGGUCCAGACUCCUACGGGAGGCAGCAGUGGGGAAUAUUGCGCAAUGGGCGAAAGCCUGACGCAGCCACGCCGCGUGAGCGAUGAAGGCCUUCGGGUCGUAAAGGCUCUGUGGGGAGGAGACGAAGAAAGACCCGUGAAGAGCGGGCCGUUGACGGUAGUCUCCUUAGCAAGCACC